GAUGAACGCUGGCGGCGUGCCUAAUACAUGCAAGUCGAGCGAACGGACGAGAAGCUUGCUUCUCUGAUGUUAGCGGCGGACGGGUGAGUAACACGUGGAUAACCUACCUAUAAGACUGGGAUAACUUCGGGAAACCGGAGCUAAUACCGGAUGAUAUUUUGAACCGCAUGGUUCAAAAGUGAAAGACGGUCUUGCUGUCACUUAUAGAUGGAUCCGCGCUGCAUUAGCUAGUUGGUAAGGUAACGGCUUACCAAGGCAACGAUGCAUAGCCGACCUGAGAGGGUCAUCGGCCACACUGCAACUGAGACACGGUCCCGACUCCUACGGGAGGCAGCAGUAGGGAAUCUUCCGCAAUGGGCGAAAGCCUGACGGAGCAACGCCGCGUGAGUGAUGAAGGUCUUCGGAUCGUAAAACUCUGUUAUUAGGGAAGAACAAAUGUGUAAGUAACUGUGCACAUCUUGACGGUACCUAAUCAGAAAGCCCCGGCUAACUACGUG
rnacentral:rRNA from 1 species